UACGUAGGAUGCGAGCGUUGUUCGGAUUUAUUGGGCGUAAAGCGUGCGUAGGCGGUUACCAAAGUCUGGUGUUAAAGCUAGGGGCUCAACCCCUGUGAUGCACUGGAAACUAUGUGACUUGAGUGCGGUAGGGGAAGGUGGAAUUCCGAGUGUAGCGGUGAAAUGCGUAGAUAUUCGGAAGAACACCGGUGGCGAAGGCGACCUUCUGGGCCGCAACUGACGCUGAGGCACGAAAGCCUGGGGAGCGAACGGG
rnacentral:rRNA from 1 species